AAAGGUCUUUCGCCAGAGAUGAUAAUGACAGUAUCUGGUAAAGAAACCCCGGCUAACUCCGUGCCAGCAGCCGCGGUAAUACGGAGGGGGUUAGCGUUGUUCGGAAUUACUGGGCGUAAAGCGCACGUAGGCGGAUCAGAAAGUAUAGGGUGAAAUCCCAGGGCUCAACCCUGGAACUGCCUUGUAAACUCCUGGUCUUGAGUUCGAGAGAGGUGAGUGGAAUUCCGAGUGUAGAGGUGAAAUUCGUAGAUAUUCGGAGGAACACCAGUGGCGAAGGCGGCUCACUGGCUCGAUACUGACGCUGAGGUGCGAAAGUGUGGGGAGCAAACAGGAUUAGAUACCCUGGUAGUCCACACCGUAAACGAUGAAUGCCAGACGUCAGCAAGCAUGCUUGUUGGUGUCACACCUAACGGAUUAAGCAUUCCGCCUGGGG
rnacentral:rRNA from 1 species